CAUGAGAGGGCCUCGUCCCCGUCUCUUUCCACUCGUCCAGAGCGCGGGCAGCCGCCGCAAGCGCCACCGCUUACCCUCGGCCGUCGGCGCCGCCGCCUACCCUCCGUCGUCGGCGUCCCCUCUUGCGUCCGCCGCCACGCCGGACCCUCCUCUGCCCCGCCUCGAGCGCCUCCCUCGAGCAGCCGUUCCCCAUCCCAGCAGCGUCGUCGCUCCCCGAAGCCGCUCCAGCCCAACAACACCGCCCCCGCACCUACGCCGGUGCUUCCUCCCACGUCCGCCGCCACACUGGACCCCCUCUACCGCGCCUCAAGCACUUCUCUGGAUCAGCCGCCCCCAUUCCAGCAGGGCCGUCGGACCCGGCAGCCGCCGCUCCUGCACAGCAACGCCGCCCCAGGAGCUACGCCGGCAGAUUGCAGGUAAAAUCUGGCGAUCUAUGUAACGACAACAAGAGAGUUUGUGAAGCAUUGCAUAUAAAGUAUUUUCUUGAAGAACAUUGCAUAGCAAAGUUUGCCUUCAAGAUUGUUAAUUCAGCAUGAUUGUUGGCUUGUUGCAUAUGAGCUCAGAUGCUAAAUGAGCGAUUGAUGAAAGCUAGGAGAUCACCAGCAACUUUAGUGUUUAUUAGUAGUUGAGCUGAUUAUGGUCAGAUUUCUUAUACAACUUAUCUAAUUAAUUUUUUGUCUUGUCAUUGGCUCAAUUGGAUCCAGAGCUACAUUGUAUAUCAUCCGUGUAUGAAAAUAAAUUGCUCUCAGUGUUCUA